rfam:Pan troglodytes isolate Yerkes chimp pedigree #C0471 (Clint) chromosome 14, whole genome shotgun sequence.
GUCUAUGGCCAUACCACCCUGAGCGCACCCCAUCUCCUCUGAUCUCGGAAGCUCAGCAGGGUCGGGCCUGGUUAGUACUUGGAUGGGAGAAUAGGAAAGCCUUUCCAGGCA